GCGCACUUCCGGGGGUCCGUGGGAGGCUUCCGCCGCGCGCUUUCGGUGCGGGCCGAGGCCGCGGGCCUAAGUGGCAGCCGGUUUGUGGGCGGCCCGAUCCGGGGGACUGGAUGCAGCGGCGCCCUACAGAGCCGCAGCGCGGGCUGCCCGCGGCCGGCCGUCCUCCCUCGGCCUCCGAGGCGCUGGGGCCGUGGCGGGAGCGAGCCGGGAGGGCGAGAGCGCGAGGCACCGCGGCCGGGAAGGGAGUUCAGAGAAGCACGGUCUGUCAAACCGCGUGUUUUCAGAGUUUUAACGCUUACGUUUUAAACGGUUUGAUACAGUGGCUGCAGCCUAACAGUGUCGCCGAAGGGUGUGAAGAUGACUUUCCCUGGGAAGCUCGGGCGGACCCCGCCCUGCGGAGCGAGUCCCGCCCCGUCCGGUGGGGGCGCCGCGGGCGGCCUGGCCGCCUGUCCUGACCGGCGACGGUAGAGCCAGGAGCGCGGCGACGGACCAGAGACUUCACCUACUGUAGGGUUCAUCGUGAGGAUCGUGGUCGACAGUGAAGCAGAGCAGCGCAGCUAUAGAAAAAGCAGCGUGACUUUUCAUCUUAAAUUAAACAAACCUGGCGUUUAUUUCAUUUUAAAAUGCAAUUUAUUUUAUACACAAACAGUGCAUAAAGCUUUGUGUGUCUUUAUGGGUUUCCAGCCUCAGGACCGCAGACUCGCUAAUGCAGGAACCCACCGGCGGGCGCCCAGGGCUGAGGCAGAAGUCACUCAUCUCGGUACAGUAAUUCCCACAGGAGAAUCAGGAGUUAUAAUUUUUCCAAUCAUAGGAGAACCCAUGAAAUUCACAAAAAUUAUAACCAGUUUUCUUUUCCAUUUACAUGUUCCACAGGUUCUCUGUACAAUGGCCACGUAUUCUUUGUUUUUGAUACACACAUCCCAUUAGGCUUCACAACUGUUCAACAAAACCAGCCUCCUCAACACAAAACCUUGCAACAAAGAUCCAGGGACAGCCUCUUGGUUACUCGUAUGGCGAAUUAAAGAGACAAAAGAUGUUUCUGUUGUUGUUGUUAUUGUUUUUUUUUUUUGAGUGACAUUCUUUUGUCGAGAAAAAAAAAAAACAUUCAUUUUAGUUGGCUAAAGAUCUUCUAAGUGAUUGGGCGAAAAUUGGUUUCAUUCAUUUUCCAGAUCAGAAGAGACACCAUAAACAUUUUGAACCUCCCCUUUGUUUUCCUCCUGUAGAUAUAUGGAAUUAGAAAAUUCAACCUGAGAAAGCAGACGCCAGAAAACCGAAUUAGAAUAAACUAGACACUGAAUCCUGCCCCUCUCCCAGAGGGUAAACAGGGGAACUGCAUAUCAAAAAGGCCUGUUUUUUUGGCUCUAGGCUAACAGAGACCUUUGCUCAGGGUCUGGGCAGGAUGGCAAGCCAAGCAUCAUUUUUAUAUUUAUUUAUAUAUAU
rnacentral:lncRNA from 1 species